UGGCGGACGGGUGAGUAAUGUCUGGGGAACUGCCUGAUGGAGGGGGAUAACUACUGGAAACGGUAGCUAAUACCGCAUAACGUCGCAAGACCAAAGAGGGGGACCUUCGGGCCUCUUGCCAUCGGAUGUGCCCAGAUGGGAUUAGCUAGUAGGUGGGGUAACGGCUCACCUAGGCGACGAUCCCUAGCUGGUCUGAGAGGAUGACCAGCCACACUGGAACUGAGACACGGUCCAG
rnacentral:rRNA from 1 species